AGAAAAAAAUCGAGCGCCCCUUUCGGGACGCUCUUUCAUGGGAGAGGAGAAACCGGACGAAGAGCUUAUGGGGAAACGUAAGUCUUCUCCGCGG
rfam:Paenibacillus curdlanolyticus YK9 ctg111, whole genome shotgun sequence.